rnacentral:rRNA from 1 species
CUUAGGAUGAACGCUAGCGACAGGCCUAACACAUGCAAGUCGAGGGGCAGCACAAGGAGCAAUCUGAGGUGGCGACCGGCGCACGGGUGAGUAACACGUAUGCAACCUGCCUGUAAGCGGGGAAUAACCCGUCGAAAGACGGACUAAUACCGCACAAUACUAAAUUACUGCAUGGUAAUUUAUUUAAACAUUUAUGGCUUACAGAUGGGCAUGCGCAUGAUUAGCUAGUUGGAGAGGUAACGGCUCCCCAAGGCAACGAUCAUUAGGGGUUCUGAGAGGAAGGUCCCCCACACUGGUACUGAGACACGGACCAGACUCCUACGGGAGGCAGCAGUGAGGAAUAUUGGUCAAUGGACGAGAGUCUGAACCAGCCAAGUCGCGUGCAGGAAGAAUGUCCUUAAUGGAUUGUAAACUGCUUUUGCAGGGGAAUAAAGUGCAUCACGUGUGAUGUUUUGUAUGUACUCUGCGAAUAAGGAUCGGCUAACUCCGUGCCAGCAGCCGC